rnacentral:rRNA from 1 species
UUAAGUCCCGUAACGAGCGCAACCCUUGUCCUUAGUUACCAGCACGUUAUGGUGGGCACUCUAAGGAGACUGCCGGUGACAAAACCGGAGGAAGGUGGGGAUGACGUCAAGUCAUCAUGGCCCUUACGGCCUGGGCUACACACGUGCUACAAUGGUCGGUACAAAGGGUUGCCAAGCCGCGAGGUGGAGCUAAUCCCAUAAAACCGAUCGUAGUCCGGAUCGCAGUCUGCAACUCGACUGCGUGAAGUCGGAAUCGCUAGUAAUCGUGAAUCAGAAUGUCACGGUGAAUACGUUCCCGGGCCUU